rnacentral:rRNA from 1 species
CAGCCGCCGCGGUAAUACGGAGGGUGCAAGCGUUAUCCGGAUUCACUGGGUUUAAAGGGUGCGUAGGCGGAUCUGUAAGUCAGUGGUGAAAUCUCCAGGCUUAACCUGGAAACUGCCGUUGAUACUGUUUAUCUUGAAUAUGGAUGAGGUAGGCGGAAUGUGGCAAGUAGCGGUGAAAUGCAUAGAUAUGCCACAGAACACCGAUUGCGAAGGCAGCUUACCAAGGCAAAAUUGACGCUGAGGCACGAAAGCGUGGGGAUCGAACAGGAUUAGAUACCCCAGUAGUCCCUGUCUCUUAUAC